AAAGUCGUAACAAGGUCUCCGUUGGUGAACCAGCGGAGGGAUCAUUACAGAGAACUGAAAACCUCUAAACCCAUGUGAACAUACCAUUUGUUGCCUCGGUCGUGAUGCUGGGGGCGACUCUCAGAAGGGCCUACCCGGUGGGUCUUACCCUGUAAGACCUAACCUGUAGCGCCUCCCCUGUAGAGGCCAUCUCCCAGCCAGCGGCCGAAGGACCCAAAACUCUUCUUACCGUGGCACUCUGAGUAGUUACACAAUGAGUUAAAACUUUCAACAACGGAUCUCUUGGUUCUG
rnacentral:misc_RNA from 1 species